UAUGAUCAUAUUAUUGCUAUGAUAAUUAAAUCUUAUAUUUUAAGAAGUGGGUGGGGUCGGUUACAAAGCUAUCCCCAAAAAGGCCAAAAGAGGGGUUGUGAUUGUGGGGCCCAUAGUCCUUUUUCUUAUUUUUUUUGGGUGAUAAGACUAAUGCUCUUUACAAAGCAAAAACUUAAAAAAAAAAAAAAUUGCCCUAAAAGCAACUUCCCAUGAAAGCAAUUAUAGCCUCCCCUCAUGAAAGCAACGUCCCACUUACCCUUUUUAUUUUUCUCUCUCCUCUCUCUCUCUCUCAAGACAUGAAGUAUGAUUCUCUCCAUUUUAUAUUAUUAUCUCUUUCUAUCGAUUACUUUCACAUUCCUCUUUUUAUCUUAUUUUCUGUAUAAAAAAUUUAAAAUAAAAUGUAAACAUAAUGUAAUUAUAACUAUUUAAGUAGAAGGAGAUAGAAGAAGAUAGAUUAAGAAAUGAGAGAAUCCUACUUAGAAGGAGAUUGCUUGGGAUCGGUGGAUUUCAUUUUCUCACACAAGUUUGCCCAGACCAAACGAAACCGGGUGUUUGGAGACAGGGAUAAGGGGCAUGCAGCCUCGACUUUCAGUUAGUGGAUUCCACAUUGUUUGGAUGUAGGGUUAGGAUAUUCUUUGUACAUAUGCUGUUAGGUAUUCGGCCUUUUCUUUUUCUUUCUUAUUUUGUUUUUGUUUGGGCACAAAAUUUGAGGAGUGUACAAAAACCAAAACCCUUCGAGGGUUCACGAAAAGCUCUUAUCCAAUCAUGAUUUGACAUGUCAGUGCAGUGGGACUGCCCCGCCCUGCCCUCUUCAGUCAUGUAUUUUAUCCUCUAAUGAC
rnacentral:lncRNA from 1 species